rnacentral:rRNA from 1 species
CGGGUGAGUAAUGCCUAGGAAUCUGCCUGGUAGUGGGGGACAACGUUUCGAAAGGAACGCUAAUACCGCAUACGUCCUACGGGAGAAAGCAGGGGACCUUCGGGCCUUGCGCUAUCAGAUGAGCCUAGGUCGGAUUAGCUAGUUGGUGGGGUAAUGGCUCACCAAGGCGACGAUCCGUAACUGGUCUGAGAGGAUGAUCAGUCACACUGGAACUGAGACACGGUCCAGACUCCUACGGGAGGCAGCAGUGGGGAAUAUUGGACAAUGGGCGAAAGCCUGAUCCAGCCAUGCCGCGUGUGUGAAGAAGGUCUUCGGAUUGUAAAGCACUUUAAGUUGGGAGGAAGGGCAUUAACCUAAUACGUUAGUGUUUUGACGUUACCGACAGAAUAAGCACCGGCUAACUCUGUGCCAGCAGCCGCGGUAAUACAGAGGGUGCAAGCGUUAAUCGGAAUUACUGGGCGUAAAGCGCGCGUAGGUGGUUUGUUAAGUUGGAUGUGAAAGCCCCGGGCUCAACCUGGGAACUGCAUCCAAAACUGGCAAGCUAGAGUACGGUAGAGGGUGGUGGAAUUUCCUGUGUAGCGGUGAAAUGCGUAGAUAUAGGAAGGAACACCAGUGGCGAAGGCGACCACCUGGACUGAUACUGACACUGAGGUGCGAAAGCGUGGGGAGCAAACAGGAUUAGAUACCCUGGUAGUCCACGCCGUAAACGAUGUCAACUAGCCGUUGGAAUCCUUGAGAUUUUAGUGGCGCAGCUAACGCAU